AAAGUCCUAGCUUAAUUAAAGUAUCUGAGUUGCAUUCAGGGGAUGCAGGGUAAUGUCCUGCGGAUUUUA
rnacentral:tRNA from 1 species